rnacentral:lncRNA from 1 species
CCCAUCGCUUUAAGCCCGGCGGCGCCAGCUCUGAUGACCACCAACAUAACUCCCCUUAACCACCUCAACCUCCCCUUUCCAAAUCCCUAAUCAUCUUCCCUCGAAUCCCAACCAGGCUCUACAAAUCUUUGAUCGAAAGUUGGCUAAACCCUAAACCUACCCUAUCAGCCCAUAAAUCACACCCCACAACCACCUUGACAACCUCAUACACAAUCCACCAUUGUUUUUCCUCAAGUAUUACUACAUCCUCUCGAACCUCAAAUCUGAGUUCGAGCCUUAAAGUUUCGAAAUUAAUUCUCAAUGAAUCGACUCAAGACUGUGUUCCUAUAACAAGAAUAUUCGACUCACGACAUAAACUAAUACUGGUAAGUUUUUCUUAACAAGAAAAAAUGAUUAGUCUCAGUUCCUUGUAAGUCAAGACGCCAAGUGAAUUCACAGUCGAAUC